rnacentral:rRNA from 1 species
UUUGCUGGAAAACUACGAGCAGAAGCUUAAAACUCAAAGGAUUUGGCGGCGCUUUAAAUUCCCUAGAGGAGCUUGUCCUAUAAUCGAUAAUCCCCGCUAAACCUUACCUUCUCUUGCCUUCAGCCUAUAUACCGCCGUCGUCAGCCCACCCUCUGAAGACCUAACAGUAGGCGAGAUCGGCCCAGCCCCAAACGUCAGGUCAAGGUAUAGCAUACGAGAAGAGAAGAGAUGAGCUACACUUCCUAACCAGGGCUACGGAAGAUCUAUUGAAAAAUAGAUUUAAAGUAGAAUUUAGCAGUAAGUAAAAAAUAGAGUGUUUU